rnacentral:rRNA from 1 species
GACGAACGCUGGCGGCGUGCUUAACACAUGCAAGUCGAACGGAAAGGCUCCAGCUUGCUGGAGUACUCGAGUGGCGAACGGGUGAGUAACACGUGGGUAAUCUGCCCUGCACUCUGGGAUAAGCCUGGGAAACUGGGUCUAAUACUGGAUAUGACCUUUCUCCUUAUGGGGUUUGGUGGAAAGUUUUUCGGUGUAGGAUGAGCCCGCGGCCUAUCAGCUUGUUGGUGGGGUGAUGGCCUACCAAGGCGAAGACGGGUAGCCGGCCUGAGAGGGUGAUCGGCCACAUUGGGACUGAGAUACGGCCCAGACUCCUACGGGAGGCAGCAGUGGGGAAUAUUGCACAAUGGGCGGAAGCCUGAUGCAGCGACGCCGCGUGAGGGAUGACGGCCUUCGGGUUGUAAACCUCUUUCAGCAGGGACGAAGCGUAAGUGACGGUACCUGCAGAAGAAGCACCGGCUAACUAUGUG